CGUGUAGGCGGUUAGGCAAGUCAGGUGUGAAAUCCCUUGGCCCAACCAAGGAAGUGCGCUUGAAACUGCUUAACUAGAGUACAGAAGGGGAAAGUGGAAUUCCCAGUGUAGAGGUGAAAUUCAUAGAUAUUGGGAGGAACACCAGUAGCGAAGGCGGCUUUCUGGCCUGAUACUGACGCUGAGACGCGAAAGCGUGGGGAGCAAACA
rnacentral:rRNA from 1 species